AUAGCAACAGCAGCGUAGCUGAACAUCUUACGGAUGGCCCAGGGCUCCAAAGGCUCGUUUCCUAAGUGAGAGAGAGCCUGGCUGAAGCUGUAUUACCAUUCAUUCUCCAGCCUCCGAAGUCUCAAAGCAUCACUUCCACCAUACUCUAACUGUCAAGACAAACACAAAGGCCCAGAAACUGCCAGACUGUCUUCUGAAGUGGCUAUAAUAUUUACACUCCCAUCAGCAGUGUAGAAGGGGUCUCACUAUGUUGUCUGGAGUGCUGUGGUGGAGUGGAGUGGCUAUUCACAGAGCCUGUUCUGCUGGGACACAGAAUCACUUGCUCCAUCUCAUACAUUGAUGAUGAUUAAUUUGUAUGUGUACCUUCCAAAAAAGAUGGUUGUGUUUGAAUGGAGGCCUUCUGGACAGGAAAAUUGCAAAGUACAAUUAACAUUUGAGUCUGUCUGAGUCAUGAAGAAAUGGAGAUUACUGAAAAUAAUUCAUUUUGGUAUCUUCUUACAUCCUGAGAGACUAAUCUUUCCAAGUUCAUCUGAGGCUCCUCUUCUCCAUGACAACCUCAUCCAGGGAUUUCUUCCUGUCCUGGUGUUUUAUGACAUAAUCACAUCCUUCCUGAGAUAAUGAGCACACAAUUGCCUGGAUACCUGAAGGAAUGGAGACAGCGGCAGAAAACACUGCAGAGAGGUGGAAACAUCCGUUAAUAUUUUAAAAUCCCAUUACUGCUACCAACAAUAAUAAUGGAUGCAUAGAAAUAGAUCUGGAUUAGCUGAGCUUGAAACAGUCCAUCUCACACACACACAAAAGAAUUUCAGAUACAGUGAACCCACAUGUUGAAGCUUUCUAGUAUAAUAAAAAUUUCAACUGUUCUGUUGAAUCAUCUGCCUGAUUGGAGGCUACAGAAAAGAUGUCAUCUUAGGAGUGCUUGCUCUGAGUGAGGCUCAUCUUCAAAUCUGAAUGACCACAAGGAGAUUUGAUUAUACAUGUGAACACCUCAGAAGGCACAGCCCACCCAGAAGGCAGACAGAAGAAGCUGCCAGGAAGACUGUGAAAUCUUCAUGCCCAAGGAUCCCUAAAAUUAGGAGCAACAACCACUUGGCUCAGACGGUUUAUGGAGGCAAAGGUUUGGAUGGGAUUAGAGAUUUCUAAAUGUGAGUUCGUGUCCUCUGCCAGACCACCUUACUUCCACCAUUCCUCAGCAAAUCAAGAAAAACAGGAGAAAAGACAUGCCUUUCCAUAAGUUAAAUCUAUUCUGUUUUAAUUCUAUAUUAUAUCUGCUGUACAACUUCUUUUGUUUGUAACACCAUAUUGUUGCUAGUAACUGGAAAUUAAUUUUCACAUGCCUCAGCUUAGAAAAAUAAAAAGCAGCCCUGCAUCAAUCCCAAU
rnacentral:lncRNA from 1 species